AUCCUGUAAUCAUCGGAUGUAAACACUAUUUCUGUGAAAGCUGUGCUCUGCAGCAUUACUGCAAAUCCAAGCGUUGUUAUGUGUGUGAUGAGCAGACCAAUGGAGUCUUCAACCCAGCCAAAGAACUCAUGGCAAAACUGGCAAAGCAUAAAGCUGAGCACCUAUCAGACCAUUCCAACUCUGCAGAUGAAGUGGAGCCAACAGAAUAACUCUCCCCUCGAUCUGUGCAGAAUAUGUACCAAGCUUCAAUUUACUUUAGCAAAAUAAAGAUAUUUGUUUUA